CUUCAGUGAAGAUGAGAUGACGAGUCUGAAAGGGAAUAACCUUGUCCAGGUGUCUGCUUUCCAUGUUGUGUUCUGCAACAUGGAUCUGGGCACCUUGGCUCACAGCCUGAGUGACACAGAGGCAUUUGUCUGAGAAGG
rnacentral:snoRNA from 1 species